AGUAAGCGCGUUAGGGAUAGUAACGAAUAGCCCACAGCCUGACGUAGGAAGUGCGAGGACUUGCAGUGAAUAGCCCGACCGCUU
rnacentral:misc_RNA from 1 species